rnacentral:rRNA from 1 species
AACCUCCGCAAUGUGAGAAAUCGCGACGGGGGGAUCCCAAGUGCCAUUCUUAACGGGAUGGCUUUUCAUUAGUGUAAAGAGCUUUUGGAAUAAGAGCUGGGCAAGACCGGUGCCAGCCGCCGCGGUAACACCGGCAGCUCUAGUGGUAGCAGUUUUUAUUGGGCCUAAAGCGUCCGUAGCCGGUUUAAUAAGUCUCUGGUGAAAUCCUGUAGCUUAACUGUGGGAAUUGCUGGAGAUACUAUUAGACUUGAGACCGGGAGAGGUUAGAGGUACUCCCAGGGUAGAGGUGAAAUUCUGUAAUCCUGGGAGGACCGCCUGUUGCGAAGGCGUCUAACUGGAACGGUUCUGACGGUGAGGGACGAAAGUUAGGGGCGCGAACCGGAUUAGAUACCCGGGUAGUCCUAACUGUAAACGAUGCGGACUUGGUGUUGGGUGGCUUUGAGCUGCUCCAGUGCCGAAGGGAGCUGUUAAGUCCGCCGCCUGGGAAGUACGGUCGCAAGACUGAAACUUAAAGGAAUU